AACGGUGGGAAGGCAAGUACACACAGACGUGGUGGGGGAUGAGGGCCACGCUCAGCAGGGUGCGUUAUGUGGAUUCCGUCGGUGCUACUUCCUCUCCGGCCGAGAAGGGUCUGCGGCAUCCCCCAUGAUUGACUUCUUCCUGGUACUUCCCGUCUCCCUUCAGCUCGAAAUAGUCCUUACGCUGAAGUGGUCUACCUCGGAGGGCCCACUCCAGUGCCGUACGGAGACCCGAGCGGAUGAGGAGACGCAAGGGUAUCAGAAAGAAUUCCCGAGGACUUAGCACUGGGGCAGUAUUCUCGUGCAGGCAUUUUGUGGAGCCGUUAUUAGCAUCGCCAGCAUUCACGCUUUUUCCUAGACACCCAGAACAGGAGCAAUUAUAUCAAGCAAAUUAACGAAGGAGGUCACGGAAGAGUAAAGAUGAGGCAAAAAGAGAAAAGGGGAGAUUAUUUCCAGCGGGGCGCAUUUUUGCGGCCAUGUGCCGGGAAGGCGUUUAUGAAGGUAAUGAAUAUAAACUUACACCCUCCGAAAACAGAUAGAAAGUGCAGUGGAGCAUUCGAGUGGAUGAUUAAAGAGAAAAACAAAUCAGGAGGUAAAAUUACUGUGUAUGGGGCCAGAGAGGCUCUGAGGUGAGGUCUGGUGGAAUUGUGUUUCAGAGGACGCUGUAAGGAAACGCAGACGCUAUUAAGGCUAUCGAGAUCGAUAAAGAUUACAGUGAACCUUCACGAGACGUUUUUUUCUCCACUUCCAAGCGCUUCUUCCGAGUCUGUGUAUUCCUUGGGCCAGAUGUUGUAUUUCACAUCCAACACAGUACAGGGUCUUUGCCCUGUCUUUAUCCCUGUGGCCAGCUUCAGACGUUAUAGAAUAAUAGACCCUUUUCCUAUGAGUGUCUCUUUCCCACACAGAUACAGUAAAAUUAGGUCCAAAUAGUUUUAUUUCCACUGCUUCCAUUUUUCUUUCCUUUCUGUUGUAAAUACAGACGUCAUCUGAAGGUCUUUUGUUGUCAAGGAAUGAUUUGAAAUUCCGCACCGUGUCUCUCCUGGACACGCCGUUCAUGUGAUUUCCCAGCAUUUCCGUCGCUGUCCCAGAGAGGGGUGGGGCGUUCCAGCUCAGAUGUCUGCAGACUGUGUUAGGAAAGCAUUUCUGUGACAGCUCACAGGUGGUCUGUUUUGAACAAAUGUAGCUUUUUCUCUUUUUCUACCUUACAUUUCUAUUUGUCUCUACUCUCAAGUAAAUGUUCCAGUAAAAGGGCCAACAGAAGAAUUCAAACAUCCAGAUUAUGGACGUAGGAAUUUUGAUAAAGUGAACACAGCCAUGUAUGCACAGUGUGAACCAUAAGAUAGAACUUUAUCAGCACCCCCCGGUCACCGUCCCCAAGAGUAGCCACUUGUAGUUCGUCUCCUGUCAGUUUAGUGUUCCCAGCCUCAGGGGACCUCAAGCACAGACUUGGGCACAGCUGUUUGCUUCUGCUGUUUGCCGUGUGAGCCUCCUUGUGUCGAGAUCCUACACGGCUUGUUCGUGUCUUUGUAGGCGUGUGGCUGCACUGGUCCUUGUCACCCACUGUGAGGUCACUGGAUGCCUUUUCCUUUCCUCCUCUCCUUAUACCUUCUCCUUAUCCUCUGCCUGUUUUCCUGGUUUCGGACUCUGGCAAACAGCACUGCUGGGCCUAUCACCUGCAUGUUUCCAGCUCUCCGGCUGGGGCCCUCCAAUACCUCAUGGACGGAAGACAGAUCAGGAAGAGCAGCGCAAACAGGAGUCAGUAACCAUGUGUGUCAAUCACGCACACAGGGGCGCAGAGAAAACUCGAGGAGUGCGGGGAACCCGGCUCAAGCUGGCUCUGAACAAGUAGCACUGAAUUUGUACAGAGGUGACCAGACAAAAGAAAAGGACUUUGAGUGUCCAGGGGGGCAAAUUGUGGGAGAGCCAGAGCGAGCACAGCCCAUUAUGUGGACGCCUUUCCAUUCGCCGCUCUGCAUUUCCAUGUGAGAUUUAGUUUACAAAGAAUAAUUCACGGGGACUGGAUUGGCAGUUUCUCAAAGAUACAGAUUAAACGGAAUUUUCCAAUUGUUUAUUGCUGUUACAGAACAAUAAAAUUUUCAUUAAUCUUG